GACGAGGCGCCAUGGCCCUGCCUCCCACCUUCGGCGACGCGCCACGGCCCUGCCUCCCAUCUCCGGUGACGCGCCGCCCCUAAACCCCGUCUCCUCUCUCGCGCCGCCCCCACUCGCCCCAGAACGCGGCCGUUCCUCCCACGGAGCCAAGCUCGCGCACCGUCGUCCCUCCCACCGCGCCGAGCUCGCACUCCAUCGCCGCUGGUGCCCCCAUCCUCGCGCCGUCCGUGACCCCUCCACUACACUCCUCUGCUGCAAGAACACGUCAGUUCGUGUGGAGAAUAAAAGUCCGUCAGUUCGAUAGUUCGUCAAUUCACCGAUGGGAUCCGCAGUUCAAGCAGCAGCAGCGCUCGCUCCCCAAUGGUUGCCCGCGCAAGGAGGAUACAGGGAGGCGACAGUGGUGGAGUCGGCAGCGUUCCAUGGCCUUUGUCCUCCUCGUCGCAUCUUUUCUUAUAAACAACAAGAAGAAAACGAGGCAUAGGCUUCAUGCUCUCCAUCUCCUGGUAAAGGGGAGUUAAGCUCUACGGCCACUUGGAUGUGUAUGCUCACGCUCCUCCACUGGGCGAGCUUCCAGGGCACCACGGGGAUUGAUAUUGUCAUCUCUACCCGUCGGCUAUGAGGGCCAAGAGGUUGCCUGCACCCUGCUGACUGAAAUGCCACUUCCGACCAGCACCUGGCCUGAUGUCAUACGUAGACCCCCGUGCUUUUUAAGAUUUCCUGUAUGCCUGUACAUGAAAAAUCUCAACAAUUCCGUUUCUUGUCUACAUGAUUUUGUGCUAGCUUAUCACAAGUUCAUGUUGCAUGCUCAAUGUAGUAGCUAGCUGAAGAAAAUUUAUUGUUCUGUAGCUUUGGUCUUACCAUUGUGGUGCUUGUGUUAUUGUGUGGGAAAAUGAAAGAAAGGAGUUUUUUUGCAAAUCAAUGAAUGAGAACAAAGUUUGUUGUUUCCCCAUCCAAUUUAGAGCUCCAAAAAAGUUCAGAGUUCAGAGUAGUUAUUUGGAGAUGAACAAUAAAUAAGUAUAAGAAAAAUUUGUAAAAAAGUUCGACAAAGUCCACUAUGUAUUUCACCAUCAGUACAUAAAGAAAUAUUAUAUAAAAUUCCCUGCUCACAGACUAUUUUUAUAGCCUACUGGUUAGUGUCAAAAUGUGUUGUUCUUGUUUCUUUACGGUUGCUUCUACAUUAUAUGAAUAUGAAUGUGCUAGCUAGCUAGCAAUACCAUUUGGAGUCAGUAGGUGUAGCUCAAACAAUUCUUGGGCCAUUUUGUCAUAACAAUAAGGCAGGACAUGCUUACAAGAUGACGAAACCAUGUAUAUAUAACUUGAUGACUGUCUAAAUUGAGAAAAUCCUGAAAUAUGAUAUGUGCUCUCUUUGUAUCAGUUCUUAUGCUUGUGACAAUUCUGCACUCAUACUGUGCUCGGUAACUAGAAAAAAAUACAUAAGUUCGAAAUAUACUUACCAUGUUUGUUCAGUGUUUUUUCAGUGGUUAUUGGUUUCCUCUUAAGCAGAUGAACUACAUUGUCACAUUAAACUGCAGGGACAAGUUCCCUCAGUCCUCUCUCGACAAAUCCAACAGUACAGGUUCUCCGGUGCGCCAAGUAUUGCCGGCGGCGAUGCCUGCAUCAUGGCCCAUUGAGGAGACCAUGCACGUACUUGGUGGUGCAGACUUGGUAGCGGUGAUAUCUUGGUUCGAUUAUAUAUCAACAACAGUGCAAUGACUGAAAGAUCAUCAGUUCAAAAUAUAUAUGCAGGAGGAGGUUCAAAGAUUGUCGUGGAGCAAGUUAAAGAGUUCAGUACACCUGCGUCAGUCAUCCAUCAUCUUCUGACAUCUAGUAUCGAAGUCUUUCCCCCCCUCUCGCCGCACACACAGGCCGGGCGGUUGAGCACCUCCUCAAGUGAGAUGCGCGGUGAGGCCCUACCAUCUCCCGCUGAUGGCUUGCCGGCACACCCUGCAGAUUCACCUCUCACCAUGGGCAGAGUCUUCAUGGAUGAACUAGAUCGUCGCCUACAAGCUCUGCUCCAGGUCAUCUCCCUCCUCUGUUGUUUUGCACUAAAAAUAUUGUAGAAUUUUUAAUUGGCUUCCGUGCGUAAAGAAGUAUCAAUAGCGAUGCAUCAUUGACAUUAAUCCUCUAACAAAAGAGUACAUAUGAGAACCUGCUCGGCUGCUCCUGGUUUAGAACAACCUGCAUUCAUACACUUCUUGGAAAAAAACUGAAUUUCAGUUCAGAGCACUGGCUCCGGCAGCCACAGCGCCCCAUCUCCCCUGGCUCCCACACCACCGCGCCAUCUCCUCCCGGCGGCAAUGCUGUAGCGAUCUUGUCCACGGCCACAUGUUGUUCUGUUUAAUGUUGUAUGAUGUUCGUAGAUACACGUAAAAGUUCGCCUUUAUAGCCUGAAAAAAAAUUCAGAGAAGGAAAGAAGUUCAAAAAAAGAAACCUGGGAUGUGUAGCUUUUUUUUGCUUAUUUUUAGCUUCAUGGCAAAGAGCUUUUGCUCAACAGUUGUAUGAACUUGUGCAUGACCAUGGAAGUAGAAGAAAACAAACAUCAGUCCAGCUGGUGGAUGUGGAGGUGAUUUCUGUAUCUAAAAUCAUAUGUGCUUUUCUCUCCAA